AUGGACGCGAAUGACGGCCACGGCCAUGUCUUUGGCGAGGACGAUGCAGCAGCCAGCGGUGAUGAAGAGAAUGGCACAGGAGACACUCAAGACAUGGGUGAUCAGGGAAACGACGCAGCCGACGGCCACGACACCGGCAUUGAUCUAAAUGUCAUGGCCAAUAAGAAGAGGCGGGCAUUUUACACCGACGACGAUAAGCGUUCGUUCUACACAGCCAUUUUGGAGAUGAAUGGUCGUGGUCCGUUGAAACAUGGGGUGACUAGAGAAUUGUCAGCUCGAAUGAAAGUGCCGGCAAGGGUUCUUCGGCGGGUAUGGAAUAAUGGUAGGCGAGGUGGUGGUGUGAAUGCGGUUAUCAACAGGAAGCCGGGUAGAGUUGGUAGAAAGCGCAUUACGCUAGACUCUGUUGCUCUAGCGGCCAUCCCUCCGAGACACCGCACGACGAUUCGAGAUGUUGCCGGUGCAAUGAACAUGUCGAAGACCACCGUUCACAAGCUGUUGAAGGAGCAUGAGUUACGCAAACACACCAAUGAGCUUAAGCCUUUGCUAACGGAGGAAAACAAGAAAGCUCGUAUCAUGUAUUGCAUUUCAAACCUAGAACCUGCUAGUAUGCCGGAGAACCCUAUCUUCAAGGAUUCAUACAACGUCAUCCACAUUGAUGAAAAAUGGUUUUAUCGCACAAGGAGAAGCCAAGGAAUUUAUUUGGGCAUUAACGAGCCGAACCCCGUGAGGCACGCCAAAAACAAGGGACACAUCGAGAAGAUCAUGUUUCUUGCCGCUGUUGCUAGGCCAAGAUUCGAUAUGCAAGGCAAUUGUACUUUUGAUGGAAAAAUUGGAAUUUGGCCCUAUGUUGAAUGGAAGCCGGCGCAAAGGAGAAGCCCGAACAGGCCUAGGGGAACUAUGGAGCUCAAGCCAUGCACCACGGUCGGCAUGGAUAAGAGUCGGGAAUAUUUGAUCAAUAAGGUGUUGCCGGCAAUCAAGGAGAAGUGGCCGCAAGAGGAUCGAUGGAAGCCAAUCUUCAUCCAACAGGACAACGCAAAGACACAUGUUCGACCUGAUGAUCCGGCAGUUCUUGCAGCAGCUCAUGAAGGUGGUUGGGACAUUAGGGUCGUGAUGCAGCCGCCUAAUUCUCCGGAUACUAAUGGGUUAGACCUUGGCAUCUUCAACUCUCUUCAGUCCGUAUUUGAAAAGAAGAUGCCACAAAAUCUUCAUGAGAUUCUCACGAAAGUGGAUGAGACAUGGGAUGAGCAUGAUGCAAACAAGUCCAACCGUGUGUUCCUUACCCAUCAGGCUGUCAUGCGGGAAAUACUAAGGCACAAGGGCUCCAUAGACUAUGAUCUUCCUCACCUAAAAAAGAGGUCUUUUGAGAGGAGGGGGAUCCGCACGCGUAGGCUACCAUGCGAGCCCGAGGUUGUAGCUAUGGCGCUUGAGUAUGUCAAUUCCGAGCAGAUUUGA
rnacentral:rRNA from 1 species